rnacentral:rRNA from 1 species
GCAUAUCAAUAAGCGGAGGAAAAGAAACCAACAGGGAUUGCCUCAGUAACGGCGAGUGAAGCGGCAACAGCUCAAAUUUGAAAUCUGGAGCCUUCGGCUUCCGAGUUGUAAUUUGAAGAGGAUGUUUCGGUUGCGACCUGGGCCUAAGUUCCUUGGAACAGGACGUCAUGGAGGGUGAGAAUCCCGUACAUGGCUGCAGGUUUGCUUCCAUGUGAAACUCCUUCGAAGAGUCGAGUUGUUUGGGAAUGCAGCUCAAAAUGGGUGGUAAAUUUCAUCUAAAGCUAAAUAUUGGCGGGAGACCGAUAGCGCACAAGUAGAGUGAUCGAAAGAUGAAAAGCACUUUGAAAAGAGAGUUAAACAGUACGUGAAAUUGUUGAAAGGGAAGCGCUUGCAAUCAGACUCGCCUUCAGCUGAUCAACCUUCCUUCUGGUUGGUGCACUCUGCUGUUGGCGGGCCAGCAUCAGUUGGGGCGGUGGGAUAAAGGCGGCAGGAAUGUGGCUCGCUUCGGUGAGUGUUAUAGCCUGUCGUGCCAUGCCACCAGUCCCGACUGAGGUCCGCGGUUCUUGCCUAGGAUGCUGGCUUAAUGGUUGUAAGCGACCCGUCUUGAAACACGGACC